rnacentral:rRNA from 1 species
AGCUCCAAUAGCGUAUAUUAAAGUUGUUGCAGUUAAAAAGCUCGUAGUUGGAUUUCGGUCAAUGUAAAGUUACGGUCUGCCGCGAUGGUGUGUACUGUCUUUCGUUGACUUCCUUCCGGUUUGCCGGCUUCUGCUCUUAAUUGAGUGGUGGUUUUUUCAAGCGUUUUAACGAACGUGAGGCUCCGGAUCGUUUACUGUGAACAAAUUAGAGUGUUUAAAGCAGGCUCAUUGACCGCCUUGAAUACAUUAGCAUGGGAUAAUAGAAUAGGACUUUGCUCUUAUUUUGUUGGUUUCUAAGAUUGUAAAGUAAUGAUUAAUAGAGAUAGUUGGGGGCAUUCAUAUUUAAUUGUCAGAGGUGAAAUUCUUGGAUUUAUGAAAGAUGAACUUCUGCGAAAGCAUU